rnacentral:lncRNA from 1 species
GCAGCCUCGGCGGGGCCCGGCCGGCGGCGGGGAGGUCGCGGGGCCGGGAGGCGCGAGAAAAAGAAAAACAUCCAUUCAUGAGAGUUCAGGGAUACGUGAAAAUGAAGCAAAUGAGGAAAGACCCAUUCACAUUCCUCCAAAAGAUCUGUGGCUCACUGGAAUCAUGUUACUGGCUCCUGGUAGUCCCUGACUUUACCUGUUUGUUCCAGGAACUUGCUUUAUGGCCAUUUGUUCUAAUGAUCAGUUUGGACAACCAACCUUUAUUCCUCCACCUCAGACAAUAUUCAACAUCCUGUAAUCAUCAUAGCGGUAAACUACCGUGAGAACGUGCCAUCUGCAAGCCAGGAAGAGAGCCCUUACCAGAAACCAAACCCUCCUGGACUUUGAUCUUGGGUUUUCUAGCCUCUGGAAAUGUGAGAAAAUAAAUUUCUGUUUUUUAAGCCA